rnacentral:rRNA from 4 species
CCUGAGAAACCCAAAAGAUCGAAUGGGGAGAUUCAUCGUCAGCGGCUUUGGCUUCCGUGCGGUACGCGAUGGCGGGGACCUCGGUCUCGCGUCACGCUGCCGCUGCGGCAUGUCCGGAGUCGUCGGCGUGCACUUCUCCCCUAGUAGGACGUCGCGACCCGUUGGGUGUCGGAUCGAUGGCCGGUCGGUCGUCUGUUGCGCUCGCGCUUCAGACCGAUUCGGUCGAAAGUCCGGCUGCCCGGCGGUAUUGAACGAUAUGAACUGGUAUCGGGCCGCACUCGAAUGCGUUCAGGCUCGUCGGCAGGCUCGUCUCGCUCGGAUUUACGGACCUAGCGCCGUUGCCGGGUGCUUGGCGUGGCUGUUAGUCGACGAUGUCCUCGGACUGGCUCUUACCCGUCGGCGACGCUACUGCUUUGGGUACUUUCAGG